rnacentral:rRNA from 1 species
CCUACGGUGGGCAGCAGUGAGGAAUAUUGGUCAAUGGGCGCGAGCCUGAACCAGCCAAGUCGCGUGAGGGAAGACGGUCCUAUGGAUUGUAAACCUCUUUUGUCGGGGAGCAAAAGACGCCCCGCGUGGCGUUCCGAGAGUACCCGCAGCAAAAGCAUCGGCUACAUCCGUGCCAGCAGCCGCGGUAAUACGGAGGAUGCGAGCGUUAUCCGGAUUUAGUGGGUUUAAAGGGUGCGAGGGCGGAAGAUCAAGUCAGCGGUAAAAUUGAGAGGCUCAACCUCGUCGAGCCGUUGAAACUGGUUUUCUUGAGUGAGUGAGAGGUAUGCGGAAUGCGUGGUGUAGCGGUGAAAU